ACGAUUUUAGUUGAUGUGGAAGGCAUAUGUUUGUUGUCUUGAGGCUUCAGGCAGCAACAAAACCCUUAAAAUAAUUUUUUAUUGAUUUUUUUUUAUAAAGGAGAAGGAAAAGAUCUUCAGCACAAGGCCUACGCGAACGGUCGCACGUGUGCUUAAACCUUUUCAAAAUAUUUUUAUUUGAUUUUUGUAAAAGAGAAGGAAAAGAUUUUCAGCACAAGGCCUACGCGAGCGGUCGCACGUGUGCUUAAACCUUUUCAAAAUAUUUUUAUUUGAUUUUUGUAAAAGAGAAGGAAAAGAUCUUCAGCACAAGGCCUGCGCGAGCGGUCGCACGUGUGCUUAAAUCUUUCCAAAAUAUUUUUAUUGAUUUUAAUUUUUUAUGAUUUUAAUUUUUUAUGAUUUUUUCUAUUUUUAUUUUUAUUAGCAAAGGAAUAUAACAACACCCAAUAACAAAACAAUGUCAAAGCUAAAGAAAUAAAAAACAGAGACAAUAAAAAAAACAUCACAGUCCAAGCCCAAUAAGAAAUAAAAAAAAGGAGGGCAGAAGACAAAACCAAGGGUGCAGUCCGAAAUCUCUUGGCCCAAGCCCCAAAGACAGGGGUGCAGCUGUAAAGUUGGGGGUGCAGAAACUUCUUUGACCCAAGCCCACAUGGAUAAAGGGGUGCAACUGUGAAUAUUGGGGGUGCCACUGGAUAUUUUGUUGACCAGGCCCAAGGCCUCUUUUAUUGUUUGCCAGAAACAAUAUGGGCUUAAACCCAUAUGAAAGGAGGUGCGAAUGGAGAACAGGAGGUGGCGGGCAGAGAGAAUGUGGCCCAGAGCCAGGCCCAAAGCCAAACCCAAAGCCAAACCCAAAGCCCCUUCUGACCUAGACACCUCUAGGGGUUCAAACAAAAUCCUCUCACUUCGCCAGGUGCUGCCUCAGAGACCUAGAGUCUCCUCCUCCAGAGACGAAUCUAGAAUCACCCUUCUUCAUCCAACCGACCACCGUCUGCGACCUCGUCAGCAACGAUGCUCGUUGCCCGAACCACAAUACUAGACUAAACAAAUAUCUAAACACAGUUAAAUUAAAUUAAAUACAAAACUAAAUUAAAAACAACUCAA
rnacentral:lncRNA from 1 species